rnacentral:misc_RNA from 1 species
AACGCACAUUGCGCCCGCCAGUAUUCUGGCGGGCAUGCCUGUUCGAGCGUCAUUUCAACCCUCAAGCCCUGCUUGGUGUUGGGGACCGGCCUCUGCCCCCUCUGGGGGAGGAGCCGCCCCCGAAAUGAAUUGGCGGUCUCGUCGCAGCCUCCUCUGCGUAGUAACAUACCACCUCGCAUCAGGAGCGCGACGCGGCCACUGCCGUAAAACGCCCAAACUUUUUUAGAGUUGACCUCGAAUCAGGUAGGAAUACCCGCUGAACUUAA